UACGUAGGGGGCGAGCGUUGUCCGGAUUUAUUGGGCGUAAAGAGCUCGUAGUCGGUUUGGUAAGUUGGAUGUGAAAUCUCCAGGCUCAACUUGGAGGGGUCAUUCGAUACUGCCAUGACUAGAGUUCGGUAGGGGAGUGUGGAAUUCCUGGUGGAGCGGUGAAAUGCGCAGAUAUCAGGAGGAACACCCGUAGCGAAGGCGGCACUCUGGGCCGGAACUGACGCUGAGGAGCGAAAGCGUGGGGAGCGAACAGG
rnacentral:rRNA from 1 species